rnacentral:ncRNA from 1 species
UAGGAACCGUGAGAUUAAGCCAUCGCGGCAGGUGCUCACGUUAAGCCCACUGACUUUCAUGUCCCUAUCUACUAUCUAGCGAAACCACAGCCAAAGGGAACGGGCUUGGAAUAAUUAGCGGGGAAAGAAGACCCUUUUGAGCUUGACUCUAUCUGGCAGUGUAAGGAGACAUAAGAAGUGUAGAAUAAGUGGGAGAUAUUAGACUUCGGGUUGGUAUCGACGAUGAAAUAGGACUACUCUUAUUGUUACGUACUUACUUGAUUAAAUGGAACGUGUAUCAUUUCCUAGCCAUUAUACGGAUAUAAUUAUUAGGUCGUUAUGGGGAUUGGGGUUGUGGUGCAAGCUGCGUGAUCCAAGUUAUCACCAAGUUUUGUUGUAUAGGCGCCGAACAGAUUCCUUAAUGUAGAAGAAUGCAGUUAG